AUUGAACGCUGGCGGCAGGCCUAACACAUGCAAGUCGAGCGGAGCGGCUGACGGGUGGUUAAUGCCUGGGAAUCUGCCUGGUAGUGGGGGAUGACGUCCGGAAACGGGCGCUAAUUCCUCAUACUUUCAGAUGGACCUAGCUCGGAUUAGCUAGUUGGUGGGGUAAAGGCCUACAAAGGCGACGAUCCGUCACUGGUCUGAGAGGAUGAUCAGUCAAACUGGAACUGAGACACGGUCCAGACUCCUACGGGAGGCAGCAGUGGGGAAUAUUGGACAAUGGGCGAAAGCCUGAUCCAGCCAUGCCGCGUGUGUGAAGAAGGCCUUCGGAUUGUAAAGUACUUUAAGUUGGGAGGCGUUACCAACAGAAUAAGCACCGGCUAACUUCGUGCCAGCCGCCGCGGUAAUUC
rnacentral:rRNA from 1 species